AUGGCUGUCGUCAGCUCGUGUCGUGAGAUGUUGGGUUAAGUCCCGCAACGAGCGCAACCCUCACUUUUAGUUGCCAUCAUUAAGUUGGGCACUCUGAAAGAACUGCCAGUGAUAAGCUGGAGGAAGGUGGGGAUGACGUCAAGUCCUCAUGGCCCUUACGUGUUGGGCUACACACGUGCUACAAUGGCAUCUACAACAGGAAGCAAAACGGCAACGUUAAGCAAAUCCCGAAAAGAUGCCUCAGUUCGGAUUGCACUCUGCAACUCGAGUGCAUGAAGCUGGAAUUACUAGUAAUCGUGGAUCAGCGUGCCACGGUGAAUGCGUUCCCGGGUCUUGUACACACCGCCCGUCACACCAUGGGAGUUGGUUCUACCUUAAGGCAAGGUUUUAAACCCUUGACCACGGUAUAGUCAGCGACUGGGGUGAAGUCGUAACAAGGUAGCCGUAGGGGAACCUGCGGCUGGAUUACCUCCUUUCUAAGGAUGAGUAAAAGUAAAAUUUUACUCUAAAUAAUAUACAUCGGUAAUGUUGACCGUCCUCAUUUCUCUUCUUAAAGUAAUGUUUCCUUCUUGUAGGGCCGGUAGCUCAGUUGGUUAGAGCACACCCUUGAUAAGGGUGGGGUCGAAAGUUCGAGUCUUUCUCGGCCCACCAAAAACCUAAAUGGGGGAUUAGCUCAUCUGGGAGAGCGCCUGAUUUGCAUUCAGGAGGUAGCAGGUUCGAUCCCUGUAUCCUCCACCAGGAAACAUUUAGUUAUUAAAACUGUAAAUAAAAAUAAUUUAUAUCAAUAUCUAUAUCCGAACAUUAAAAGUUAUUAUUUAAUGUUCAAAAUAAAAAUUUGAUCACAACAUGGAUAAAUUUUCUUUUAAAAGAAUUUUUUUCUGUGCAUAAAUCAAGCGUUUAAGGGCGUGUAGUGGAUGCCUUGGCACUGAAAGCCGAUGAAGGACGUGAUAUACUGCGAUAAGUUUCGGGGAGCUGUAUGUAAGCUUUGAUCCGAAAAUCUCCGAAUGGGGAAACCCGG
rnacentral:sRNA from 1 species